GAUGAACGCUGGCGGCGUGCCUAAUACAUGCAAGUCGAGCGAACGGACGAGAAGCUUGCUUCUCUGAUGUUAGCGGCGGACGGGUGAGUAACACGUGUAUAACCUACCUAUAAGACUGGGAUAACUUCGGGAAACCGGAGCUAAUACCGGAUAAUAUUUUGAACCGCAUGGUUCAAAAGUGAAAGACGGUCUUGCUGUCACUUAUAGAUGGAUCCGCGCUGCAUUAGCUAGUUGGUAAGGUAACGGCUUACCAAGGCAACGAUGCAUAGCCGACCUGAGAGGGUGAUCGGCCACACUGGAACUGAGACACGGUCCAGACGCCUACGGGAGGCAGCAGUAGGGAAUCUUCCGCAAUGGGCGAAAGCCGGACGGAGCAACGCCGCGUGAGUGAUGAAGGUCUUCGGAUCGUAAAACUCUGUUAUUAGGGAAGAAAAUAUGUGUAAGUAACUGUGCACAUAUUGACGGUACCUAAUAAGAAAGCAACGGCUAACUACGUG
rnacentral:rRNA from 1 species